rnacentral:rRNA from 1 species
ACUCCUACGGGAGGCAGCAGUAGGGAAUCUUCCGCAAUGGACGAAAGUCUGACGGAGCAGCGCCGCGUGAGCGAUGAAGGCCUUCGGGUCGUAAAGCUCUGUUGUUAGGGAAGAACAAGUACCGGAGUAACUGCCGGUACCUUGACGGUACCUAACCAGAAAGCCACGGCUAACUACAUGCCAGCAGCCGCGGUAAU